rnacentral:rRNA from 1 species
GCAUAUCAAUAAGCGGAGGAAAAGAAACUAACAAGGAUUCCCCUAGUAGCGGCGAGCGAAGCGGGAAGAGCUCAAAUUUGUAAUCUGGCGUCCUCAGGGCGUCCGAGUUGUAAUCUAUAGAGACGUUUUCCGUGCCGGACCGUGUCCAAGUCCCUUGGAACAGGGUAUCAAAGAGGGUGACAAUCCCGUACUUGACACGACGACCGGUGCUCUGUGAUACGUUUUCUACGAGUCGAGUUGUUUGGGAAUGCAGCUCAAAAUGGGUGGUAAAUUCCAUCUAAAGCUAAAUAUAGGCGAGAGACCGAUAGCGAACAAGUACCGUGAGGGAAAGAUGAAAAGCACUUUGGAAAGAGAGUUAAACAGUAUGUGAAAUUGUUGAAAGGGAAACGAUUGAAGUCAGUCAUGUCCAUUGGAUUCAGCUGGUUCUGCCAGUGUAUUUCCUUUGGACGGGUCAACAUCAGUUUGAGCCGGCGGAUAAUGGCAGAGGGAAUGUGGCACCCCCGGGUGUGUUAUAGCCCUUUGUCGCAUACGUCGGCCCAGACUGAGGAAUGCAGCUCGCCUUUAUGGCCGGGGUUCGCCCACGUACGAGCUUAGGAUGUUGGCAUAAUGGCUUUAAACGACCCGUCUUGAAACACGGACC